rnacentral:rRNA from 1 species
CCUACGGGCGGCAGCAGUGGGGGAUAUUGCACAAUGGGGGGAACCCUGAUGCAGCGACGCCGCGUGGGUGAAGGAGCGUUUCGGCGCGUAAAGCCCUAUCGGCAGGGAAGAAGAUGACGGUACCUGACCAAGAAGCCCCGGCUAACUACGUGCCAGCAGCCGCGGUAAUACGUAGGGGGCAAGCGUUAUCCGGAUUUACUGGGUGUAAAGGGAGCGUAGACGGCGAUGCAAGUCUGAAGUGAAAGGCGGGGGCCCAACCCCCGGACUGCUUUGGAAACUGUAUGGCUGGAGUGCAGGAGAGGUAAGUGGAAUUCCUAGUGUAGCGGUGAAAUGCGUAGAUAUUAGGAGGAACACCAGUGGCGAAGGCGGCUUACUGGACUGUAACUGACGUUGAGGCUCGAAAGCGUGGGGAGCAAACAGGAUUAGAUACCCUGGUAGUC